UUAGAGAGCUGCGAGCCCAGAAGCGGGGAGAAGUUGGAGAGGUCGAGAGGGGAGGGUAGGAAGAAUUUGAAGCCAGACCCCCCCCCCCCGAUCAGCUGAGCCCCCGAGGAGCGUCUCUGCAGUGUCCAGGCCGAGUGUGGACGCGCCGUACGCGGCCCCGCCAGGGCUGAGAGUUUGCAGACCGUCCCUGCCGCGGCCCGCUCGGCGGCGGCCCUGCGGCUCCCGCGGCUGCCGCGGCGGCCCCGGGCUCGAUCCAGCCCAGGUAGCCCCGCCGCAGGCUCGGGGUGCCGCGACCCCGUGCCCCGCGGAGCCUUGGGUCCCCCCGGGGACGGCAGCUGGCAGGCACUCCCGGCUGCUGCUGCUGCUGCUCCUCAACAAGGAGGAGUGAUUACUUCUCUGUCGUAGACAUUGGAGGCGGAUCCAUCAGGCCAUCAGGAUGGAAACGAGGAAAGGAAAUCGGCUGACGCAGGAGCCCGAGUGAGACAGAGAAACCCACAGGCCCAGCCUACACCAUGAACUUGUGUCUCAUUUCCACACUGUAAGAGCCCAGGGCAGGUGAAGUUGCCAGAGAGCAAUGGCUCUCUUUACUCCGUGGAAGCUGUCCUCUCAGAAGCUGGGCUUUUUCCUCGUGACUUUUGGCUUUAUUUGGGGUAUGAUGCUCUUGCAUUUUACCAUCCAGCAGAGAACUCAGCCCGAGAGCAGCUCCAUGCUUCGGGAACAGAUCCUGGACCUCAGCAAGAGGUACAUCAAGGCGCUGGCAGAAGAAAACAGAAAUGUGGUGGAUGGGCCCUACGCGGGGGUCAUGACAGCUUACGAUUUGAAGAAGACUCUUGCUGUGUUGUUGGAUAACAUUUUGCAGCGCAUUGGCAAGUUAGAGUCAAAGGUGGACAACCUCGUAAUCAAUGGCACAGGGACGAACUUGACCAACUCCACCACAGCUGUUCCCAGCUUGGUAGCACUUGAGAAAAUUAAUGUGGCAGAUAUCAUUAAUGGAGCUCAAGAAAAAUGCGUAUUGCCUCCUAUGGAUGGCUACCCCCACUGCGAGGGGAAAAUUAAGUGGAUGAAAGAUAUGUGGCGCUCGGAUCCCUGCUACGCAGAAUACGGAGUGGAUGGGUCCACCUGCUCUUUUUUUAUUUACCUCAGUGAGGUUGAAAAUUGGUGUCCUCAUUUACCUUGGAGAGCAAAAAAUCCCUACGAAGAAGCUGAUCGUAAUUCAUUGGCAGAAAUUCGUACGGAUUUUAAUAUUCUCUACAGUAUGAUGAAAAAGCAUGAAGAAUUCCGAUGGAUGAGACUACGGAUCCGGCGAAUGGCUGAUGCGUGGAUCCAGGCAAUCAAGUCCUUGGCAGAGAAGCAGAAUCUUGAAAAGAGAAAGAGGAAGAAAGUCCUUGUUCACCUGGGCCUCCUGACUAAGGAAUCUGGAUUUAAGAUUGCAGAGACAGCUUUCAGUGGUGGCCCUCUUGGUGAAUUAGUUCAGUGGAGUGAUUUAAUUACAUCUCUGUACUUAUUGGGCCAUGACAUUAGGAUUUCAGCUUCACUGGCGGAGCUCAAGGAAAUAAUGAAGAAGGUUGUAGGAAACCGAUCUGGCUGCCCAACUGUAGGAGACAGAAUUGUUGAGCUCAUUUAUAUUGAUAUUGUAGGACUCGCUCAAUUCAAGAAAACUCUUGGACCAUCCUGGGUUCAUUACCAGUGCAUGCUGCGUGUCCUGGACUCAUUCGGCACCGAACCAGAGUUCAACCAUGCCAACUAUGCCCAGUUGAAAGGCCACAAGACCCCCUGGGGCAAGUGGAACCUGAACCCGCAGCAGUUUUACACCAUGUUCCCUCACACCCCAGACAACAGCUUCCUGGGGUUCGUGGUCGAGCAGCACCUGAACUCCAGCGAUAUCCACCACAUUAACGAAAUCAAGAGGCAGAACCAGUCCCUUGUGUACGGCAAAGUGGAUAGCUUCUGGAAGAAUAAGAAGCUCUACUUGGACAUCAUUCACACAUACAUGGAAGUGCACGCGACUGUUUACGGCUCCAGCACAAAGAACAUUCCCAGUUACGUGAAAAACCACGGGAUCCUCAGUGGACGGGACUUGCAGUUUCUUCUCCGAGAAACCAAGCUGUUUGUUGGACUCGGGUUCCCUUAUGAAGGCCCGGCUCCCUUGGAGGCCAUCGCAAAUGGAUGUGCUUUUCUGAAUCCCAAGUUCAGCCCACCCAAAAGCAGCAAAAACACAGACUUUUUCAUUGGCAAGCCAACUCUGAGAGAGCUGACCUCCCAGCAUCCUUAUGCCGAAGUGUUCAUCGGCCAGCCACACGUCUGGACUGUUGACCUCGAUAAUCAGGAGGGGGUGGAGGACGCCGUGAAAGCAAUUUUAAGUCAGAAGAUUGAGCCGUACAUGCCAUAUGAAUUCACGUGCGAGGGGAUGCUACAGAGAAUCAACGCUUUCAUCGAAAAACAGGACUUCUGCCAUGGGCAAGUGAUGUGGCCGCCCCUGAGUGCCCUGCAGGUAAAGCUUGCUGAGCCCGGGCAGUCCUGCAAGCAGGUGUGUCAGGAGAAACAGCUCAUCUGUGAGCCUUCCUUCUUCCAGCAUCUCAACAAGGACAAGGACUUGCUGAAGUACGAGGUGACCUGCCAAAGCUCAGAGAUGGCCAAGGACAUCCUGGUGCCCUCCUUCGACCCCAAGAGCAAGCACUGUGUGUUUCAAGGUGACCUCCUGCUGUUCAGCUGUGCUGGCGCCCACCCCAGGCACCGGAGGAUCUGCCCCUGCCGGGACUUCAUCAAGGGCCAGGUGGCUCUCUGUAAAGACUGUCUCUAGCAGCCACCGGCUCGUCCCCGCACGCACUCUCCUGGGAAAGACGGUGGCUCCAGCCCCAUCGGGGCAAGGCCGGUGGGCAGAAAUCAUUCGGGGACUUUCGCCGGAGCCUGAACUCUUUUGGCGGGAGGUCUCGAUUUGGUAUUGCUCCCGCUGCGGUCGGAGGAUCACAGCGGAGUUCUCACCAAAACAAAACGAGAGUCGACAUCAGGCCGGGAGCCUGGCUUCUCCCUGGCACAAAUUCAUUUUUAAUUUUGGAGGAGCUACUGUAGGGAGACUGUCUAUGCAGCUGCUCCAGGGUAGAAAGAGAAUCUCAAGAUUCAUUUAAAUGAAACAAAACCAGAGGAGGAAUUGAGCUAGUUGGAAAGAACUUCGUAUGGGAACAUUCCUAAACCCAUUAACUUAUUUAUUUGGGAGGGAGGGAGGGGGAGCUGGGGAGGGCACAGAGGGAUUGAUUGCGUGUCUUGUAACUUCUUCGAUUUUCCUCUGUUGGCCAUCCACCUUCACUAUAAUAUUACUACUCUCUGCUUUGGGCAGGGUGCACUGUGGGGUUGGUGGCAUGCUUAAGGGCAGCUAUGGGGACCCAGCUCCUCGAAGUGGAUGGUGGCAGAACAGAACAAAUCUUGUGUGCUUGCCACACGGCAGCUAGGGCACGGGCAGCCCCUGGCGUGCGGGGAUAUGCCUGUGUGGUCCAGAGAGCCCCCAGGGACCAAAGAUGGGCUGCUUUGCAGCGAGAGGCUCCUUUCCUCUGUCCCACCCCAUCCCCAGCCGAAAACACACUCGCACCCAAACCCACACCCACAUACAACCUUGGCUGUAAUUUCUGGUUAGGAUUAGAAGAGCUACCCUUGGAGCUCUUGGAGGCUGUGCUCUUUGCCCCUUCAGAGAUUUGUCUUCGAGCUGAGAUUUCGACGGGAGUGAAGCUGGUCUUAGGGACCACCAGAGCUGGGUUCUAGACGGAUGGGCUUGUGUUGUAUUCCCUCUAAUGUCUGAUGUCACUGAAGUCCAGGGAAUGGGGCUCUUGGUGAACCCGAUGACGGCUCGGGGAGCAAGGGCAGGCAUGUGCACUGUCCUGGCCCCUCACCUGUGAGUGUGGGUGCGGCUUGCAAGGGGUAGGAAUGUGAUGCUGGCUUUUACUCCAGGCACAGAUAUUUGUGGGGGGCGGCGGUGGUGAGCCGCUUGGCAGGUUGGACCAAACCGUGGAGUCACCCCCACCCCCCCGCUUUUGUGUGAGUUGCCCCGGUCCUGCACACCUCCACCCCGUGCUUCAGUGCUGUGCGUGUAAGCGUGUGUUUCUGCGAUGCCCCUGGCAUCUCCGUACUGCUAAGAGUGAGCCCUCCUCUCUCUGUGGCGGAACUUCCCCCUUAUGAGCUGUCCCGUGAUCCGUCCAGCCGUCACUCAUGCUUCUGAGUGCCUUGGUCGCCGAGCAGAGCAGCUGGGCAAGGCUAAUGGCCUGGGUGGGCCUUCGGGACAUGAGGUUAAAGUUAGAAUUCUGCUUUCAGAGGACCAGAUGGAGUGUGGAGACUUGAGUUAUGGGAAGUUAGAUUCCGCCUGCUUCUAGAUUCUUCUUGGGUGUAAAAUUACUAUCAAGCGCACAGCCAGCCUUUUUUUCUUAAACCCUCCGUGGGUCUUAAUUGCACCUCCCAUCUUAGAGAAUGGAAGGAGGGAGGAAUGGCAGCCGGGGUCUCCCCGACCCCAUAGGUGGCCCACAUGUGCCAGGGAGAAUGCUGGCGGGGAGGUCUCUCUGCUCUGAGCGUGGAUGCAGGGGCCCGCCCGUCACAACCUGGCUGAGGACAGCAAUAAGGAUGGAGGGUGCCAGUGCCUGGGUGCCUUGAAGCUUUGCAAGGGCGGUUUCCCGCAGUGGGAGGAAACAACUGCUAUCCCUGCUGUGGGGAACUGCUUUUCCCUACAGAUGGGACUCCUGGCUGCAGCCUCGCUGGUGGCAAUUUGCUUGAGGGCCCAGGUCUGCAAUUCCUGGGCCGGUGCUGCCCUCUUCUGGGAGCUUCCAGUGCUGAGGACAUGAGUGCCGGUGUUUGACCAGCAGGGGGCGCCGGCGGGCCGAGACCUUUUUCCCACCCGGCCAGAUAAAGCCAUUUUGUGAGAGAGCUGUUACAGCCAACCCAGGAACUCUGAAAGCAAGGAAGUUGGAAAACCCUGUUCUCAGCAAGAUGCUGUGCCGGGCUUGUGUUCCAGAAGCUGCAGAGAUUGUUUGCUGGCUGACCCUGAGCUCAGGGACUCUCCGCCUUCUGGAGAAUUCCUCUUCUUCAGGUCAGGACUCUCAGGUCAGGCAGCCAGGAGAGCACCUCCCCCAUUUGAAGAUUCCUGUGGCUUCCCCCCAUUUCUAGUAAUGGAAGUAAGCCAGAGCUCUCUGCCCGCAGGGCUGCUGCUCCUGGGGCAAAGAAACCCACACUCCAGUUCUUGAGGGCAUUAUGAACAGAGGCGGCAACACUGAAUGUAUACUGGCUCUCAGGCCUCCACACACGUGGCCCAAGUCUGGUCAACGACCCAAGAGGACAUUGGGAUAGGGACCUCCAUCUGCCCUGCACAGGAAGGGGUGCGAUUCCUACCUGCCCUGGGAGAGGAAGGCACCUCUCAGAGUGUGGGCUGGGAGCCUUCGAUGGUUUUGCCAAUGCCAAUCUUAAUAGAAUCCUAAACCAAUUAAUUGGUAAUUGAUGACAAUUCCAAUCAGGAUUAGUGUCUUCUUGUGCUCUGAGCAUCUCUCAUCUCUUGCCUGGUCUUUAGUUUUCGUACAUUUUUUUCCUAAAAGAUUUGGGUUUUUUUUUUUUUCCCUCCCCUGUGAUCCUAAGUUCUUAAAAAAAAAAAAAAAAAACAACUCGAGGGAAAACAUUUAAUUUAUUAAAGGAGAGAAAGCUUUCCUUUGAAAUGUAAAGACUUUCAGGAAUAAAAGUUCCUGAAAGGGGAAACACUUCUCCCGCCAGUAAACACCUCAUUUAUUUCCUGUAUGUAAUUCGAUUUGCACAAGUACAAUUGGAGAAGCUUUUUGCAUUUUUGCUUAGAUUCGGUUUUGUCACUGCUUAUAGUUUACUUUUUGUGUGUUUUGCUGUACGUUUGGAGAUAUUUCUUUGGUGAUAUUUAUUUUUUCUCUGAGGUGCCUUUUCACUUUUCUUUCGGGUUCGUUUUUGGAAUGUGGGGUUGGUUUUUGGAAUCUGGGUUUUGUUGAAGGAAGCUAGCAGACUCCUCCAGCUUGGAGAUAGGACAUGCCCUGGCAUCACUGCGGGCAACUCAGGCUGGGUGCCGGAAAUGCCCUCCAAGCCCCCCACCCCGGGCCAUAGUGUAGGGGCACAUACACCCCCAUGAAGCCAUGAGAACCCCCAAGAAAAGGUCUGACUUUCUCCAGACCAGCCCAUACUUUCCCAGGCUGCUCGGCCAGGUCUUUCGGUUUGGGAACUGCUGGUUGACACGUGCCACCCCGGGAGCUUGGUGAGGUCUGGCCGCAGCAGAAAACCAGCCCUACCUGAGGGGUUGCACUGAAGGGAAGCAGGCCCUGCUGAACUCAUGGAAGCACUGGCCCAAAACCACUUCAUCUGGUUAGCAGGUUGAAGGGGAAGAAUACGCACCCCCUUUUUUUGUUUCUUAGGCAAACGUGGGGUUCGAUAAAAGUGACUACUCAGCUUCCCGGUAAGCUCACUUUGGGGCGCCCCAGUGCAGCUCACUGGUAGUGAAGCCACGAGUGUGACCAGGUAGACAGAAACUGUUCUGUUUAUGGGUGGAUUUGUGCUUUUUAGACCAGACCAAGGCAGGCCACCCCGUUCUCCGAGGUGGUUUACCUAGAUUGUGUAUUUAAUGGGAACAUUGCCACCCUCUCCCAUGGCCCCCCGCAAUUCUUGAUUUAAAAAAAAAAACGUCUGUUAACGACAGGCUCAGUUGUGUUACUCUCCCAUGCCUGGAAUGUUGUAUUUAUUGAAAAAUAUUUUCAUUUCUACACUGGCUUCAUUCUAACCCCAUCCAUCCCUAUGGGGCUGCAGAGCACCUUCGUGUGAAGAGCUGGAUGGAUGUAGAGAGAUUCAGACUUCUUUAGGAAGGUAGGAAUUUCCUAAAGCACAGGGCGGGUUCCUUUCCUUCUUGUGGGCUUCAACAAAAAAAUGGAAAACCAAGUUUUUAUAGCAAAAGGCCAAAUUAGCUGUCUAGUGUCCGAUGCAGAAAAAAACUACCCUAGCGUUCUUAGCACUUAGGGUUUUUGUGAGGAUUCAGUUUAGCAGUGAAUUAGCAGUGUUUAGCAGUGUCUGGCAUAUAGUAAGCCCUAGUGAGUGUUAAAUAUUGUCGUUAUUCGCCUUUCAUAAAAUUCGAGAAAAAAAGAGCUGAGCUCACUUCCUAUCCUUGAUUCAAAAGUAAUACCUACGGGAGAAUACUCCCAAGUUGAUGGAAUGUUGUAGGACGUAGUGGUGGAAGAUACCUGAGUCCUGUGUCCACCCUGCUGGUUAAAAUGCACUGACUGGAAAAUACGCCUGACUGCAGCCCCAGAUGGAACUGGGCCGCAAGAAUUAGCAAACUGAACAUAAGAGGGUGACCUCUGGCCACAUGCUGUGGACCGCACCCCACUCAGCUUCUGGACCCUUCCAGGGUUUUGCUUUGCAGAACUUGGUGAGCUGGAAAUUAAAAUGAAUUCUCUGACUGUCCCCUUAAAGUUACCCAUCUUUCUCUGAAAUGCAAUGAUAGAGGCGUUUCUGUUUUUUAUUGAAAGGGAAAGGAAUGACCAAUUGAACUUAAUCGCUCCCCAGGAAGCCCCUUUUGGCGCCCCCUGCUGGCCAGGGUGGCUCCUGCACUGUCCAGUCCAAGAGGAUCAGUCUCCCAGGCUGAUCCUUUGGAUUCUCUUCAGCUGAAUCAGCAUUUAAGAUUGGAACUUACCUUCUUCAAAGCAUCAUUUCCUCUAUUCUUCCCAGAUCUUGUGGCGCCUUCAGAUUACCCCCCAGCCCCCUGCAUCCGGUGAGGCACGACAAAGGGAUGCAAGGGCAGCCGUGCGCUCGUGCGUCGGGCAGGGCCCCAUCUGGGUCCGUGGGGGGCAAGGGUGGUCCUGGAGGCUCAGAGCCUUGGCGGUGCUGGAGGGCUCCCUGGGCCAGCCGGCCAGGAACCUAGCACAGGCAGCCACCUCUGGCGCAGCUGAGAUGGAGCAGACGUGGGAUGCCUUUGCUCACCGGCCUACCUGGGUAUGAACAAGAGUGGAAGUCUAUGCCAAAGGAGAUGGUGACGUCCUUUCUGCUGUAGUUGCUGUCACAGCCUUGAUGUCUGUAAGCUAAUGGCCAUUCGCGUCUGUGUCUUCAGCCAGCUCCUGGUACAACCAUUUUCUACUGUUCACUUCUGGGGUUAAGUAGUGCGGGAUUCUGCAAAUAAGGUGUUGCUGUCAAAUGUACUGUACCGGCGUAGAGAGCACUGCUUUGUUUUCCACUGUUGUAGAGAAAACUAGGGAGAACUUUAUUUUUCAAUAAACUUUUCUUGUGUGA